rnacentral:misc_RNA from 1 species
AAAGUCGUAACAAGGUUUCCGUAGGUGAACCUGCGGAAGGAUCAUUACCGAGUGCGGGUUCCAACGAGCCCAACCUCCCACCCGUGUUUACCAUGACCGCGUUGCCUCGGCGGGCCCACUGGGGCCUGGCCCCGGUCGCCGGGGGGCUUCUGCCCCCGGGUCCGCGCCCGCCGAAGCGCCCUGGAACCCUGUCUGAAUAGUGAGUCUGAGUCUAUGAUUAAAUCAUUAAAACUUUCAACAACGGAUCUCUUGGUUCCG